UACGGGGGGGGCAAGCGUUGUUCGGAAUUACUGGGCGUAAAGGGCUCGUAGGCGGCCAACUAAGUCGGAUGUGAAAUCCCCAGGCUUAACCUGGGAACUGCAUCCGAUACUGGAUGGCUUGAAUUCGGGAGAGGGAUGCAGAAUUCCAGGUGUAGCGGUGAAAUGCGUAGAUAUCAUCAGGAACACCAGUGGCGAAGGCGACUUACUGGACACAUAUUGACGCUGAGGUGCGAAAGCGUGGGGAGCAAACAGG
rnacentral:rRNA from 1 species